rnacentral:rRNA from 1 species
AACGAACGCUGGCGGCAUGCCUAACACAUGCAAGUCGAACGAGACCUUCGGGUCUAGUGGCGCACGGGUGCGUAACGCGUGGGAACCUGCCCUUAGGUUCGGAAUAACUCCCCGAAAGGGGUGCUAAUACCGGAUAAUGUCUUCGGACCAAAGAUUUAUCGCCUGUGGAUGGGCCCGCGUUGGAUUAGCUUGUUGGUAGGGUAAAGGCCUACCAAGGCUACGAUGGGUAGCUGGUCUGAGAGGAUGACCGGCCAAAUUGGGACUGAGAUACGGCCCAGACUACUACGGGAGGCAGCAGUGGGGAAUAGUGCAGAAUGGGCGGAAGCAUGAUGCAGCAACGCCGCGUGCGGGAUGACGGCCGUCGGGUUGUAAACCGAUUUCGCCUGUGACGAAGCGUGAGUGACGGGAAUGGGUAAAGAAGCAACGGCUAACGACGUG